CCUACGGGGGGCAGCAGUGAGGAAUAUUGGUCAAUGGGCGCGAGCCUGAACCAGCCAAGUAGCGUGAAGGAUGACUGCCCUACGGGUUGUAAACUUCUUUUAUAAAGGAAUAAAGUGAGGCACGUGUGCCUUUUUGUAUGUACUUUAUGAGUAAGGAUCGGCUAACUCCGUGCCAGCAGCCGCGGUAAUACGGAGGAUCCGAGCGUUAUCCGGAUUUAUUGGGUUUAAAGGGAGCGUAGAUGGGUUGUUAAGUCAGUUGUGAAAGUUGGGGGCUCAACCGUAAAAUUGCAAUUGAUACUGGCAGUCUGGAGUACGGUUGAGGUAGGCGGAAUUCGUGGUGUAGGGGUGAAAUGCUUAGAUAUCACGAAGAACUCCGAUUGCGAAGGCAGCUUACUAA
rnacentral:rRNA from 1 species